rnacentral:rRNA from 1 species
UACAGAGGGUGCAAGCGUUAAUCGGAAUUACUGGGCGUAAAGGGCUCGUAGGCGCCAACUAAGUCAGACGUGAAAUCCCCAGGCUCAACCUGGGAACUGCGUCUGAUACUGGUUGGCUUGAAUCCGGGAGAGGGAUGCAGAAUUCCAGGUGUAGCGGUGAAAUGCGUAGAUAUCUGGAGGAAUACCGGUGGCGAAGGCGGAUCUCUGGGCCGAUACUGACGCUGAGGAGCGAAAGCGUGGGGAGCGAACAGG